AAUAGAUACCCGGGUAGUCCACGCCGUAAACGAUGUCGACUUGGAGGUUGUUCCCUUGAGGAGUGGCUUCCGGAGCUAACGCGUUAAGUCGACCGCCUGGGGAGUACGGCCGCAAGGUUAAAACUCAAAUGAAUUGACGGGGGCCCGCACAAGCGGUGGAGCAUGUGGUUUAAUUCGAUGCAACGCGAAGAACCUUACCUACUCUUGACAUCCAGAGAACUUUCCAGAGAUGGAUUGGUGCCUUCGGGAACUCUGAGACAGGUGCUGCAUGGCUGUCGUCAGCUCGUGUUGUGAAAUGUUGGGUUAAGUCCCGCAACGAGCGCAACCCUUAUCCUUUGUUGCCAGCGGUCCGCCGGGAACUCAAAGGAGACUGCCAGUGAUAAACUGGAGGAAGGUGGGGAUGACGUCAAGUCAUCAUGGCCCUUACGAGUAGGGCUACACACGUGCUACAAUGGCGCAUACAAAGAGAAGCGACCUCGCGAGAGCAAGCGGACCUCAUAAAGUGCGUCGUAGUCCGGAUUGGAGUCUGC
rnacentral:rRNA from 1 species